GUACUCACUUUAACAGCAUAUAUACUAAAGUUGGAACAAUAUAAGAAAGAUUAGUAUGGCCCUUGCACAAGGAUGACACACAAAUUCAUAAAGCGUUCCAUAAUUUU